rnacentral:sRNA from 1 species
GGGCUUCUGCUCUUCUCGUUGUCACGGGUACAAAUCCAGCGGCCUUAAGCAAAUCCUAGGGGGCUGGCUCUGUUCUGACCCUGGUUAGUUUACCUGGCACCCACCUGUACAUACAGGUCCUCAGGAUUAGUUACCUUUACGGAUGCAGCGGUUCCCGC